rnacentral:rRNA from 1 species
UACAGAGGUCCCAAGCGUUGUUCGGAUUCACUGGGCGUAAAGGGUGCGUAGGUGGUCGGGUAAGUCUGAUGUGAAAUCUCACAGCUUAACUGUGAAACUGCAUUGGAUACUAUCCGGCUAGAGGAAUGGAGGGGAGACUGGAAUACUUGGUGUAGCAGUGAAAUGCGUAGAUAUCAAGUGGAACACCAGUGGCGAAGGCGAGUCUCUGGACAUUUCCUGACGCUGAGGCACGAAAGCCAGGGGAGCAAACGGG